AAUCAACGCUGGCGGCGUGCCUAAUACAUGCAAGUCGAACGCGAAAGUCCCGCAAGGGGAUCAGUAGAGUGGCAAACGGGUGAGUAACACGUGGGUGACCUGCCUUCGAGCGGGGGAUAACGUUCCGAAAGGGACGCUAAUACCGCAUGAUAUCCUGCCUUUGAACAGGUGGAGAUUAAAGCUGGGGAUCGACAAGACCUAGCGCUUGAAGGAGGGGCCCGCGCCCGAUUAGCUAGNGGUGGGGUAACGGCUCACCAAGGCAACGAUCGGUAGCCGGCCUGAGAGGGGCGGACGGCCACACUGGGACUGAGACACGGCCCAGACUCCUACGGGAGGCAGCAGUAGGGAAUUGUUCGCAAUGGGCGCAAGCCUGACGACGCAACGCCGCGUGGA
rnacentral:rRNA from 1 species